CGUAGGUGCAAGCGUUAAUUGGAAUUACUGGGCGUAAAGCGUGCGCAGGCGGCUUUGCAAGACAGAUGUGAAAUCCCCGGGCUCAACCUGGGAACGUGCAUUGUUGACUGCAUGGCUAGAGUACGGUAGGAGGGGAGUGAAUUCCGCGUGUAGCAGUGAAAUGCGUAGAUAUGCGGAGGAACACCGAUGGCGAAGGCAAUCCCCUGGACCUGUACUGACGCUCAUGCACGAAAGCGUGGGAGCAAACAGGAUU
rnacentral:rRNA from 1 species